UUGACUGCGAGAGUGACAGCUCGAGCAGGUACGAAAGUAGGUCUUAGUGAUCCGGUGGUUCUGAAUGGAAGGGCCAUCGCUCAACGGAUAAAAGGUACUCCGGGGAUAACAGGCUGAUACCGCCCAAGAGUUCAUAUCGACGGCGGUGUUUGGCACCUCGAUGUCGGCUCAUCACAUCCUGGGGCUGAAGUAGGUCCCAAGGGUAUGGCUGUUCGCCAUUUAAAGUGGUACGCGAGCUGGGUUUAGAACGUCGUGAGACAGUUCGGUCCCUAUCUGCCGUGGGCGUUGGAAGAUUGAAAGGGGCUGCUCCUAGUACGAGAGGACCGGAGUGGACGCACCACUGGUGUUCGGGUUGUCAUGCCAAUGGCAUUGCCCGGUAGCUAAGUGCGGCAGAGAUAACCGCUGAAAGCAUCUAAGCGGGAAACUUGCCUUGAGAUGAGUCUUCCCUUGUCCCUUGAGGACACUGAAGGAACGUUCGAGACGAGGACGUGGAUAGGCUGGGUGUGUAAGCGUUGCGAGACGUUGAGCUAACCAGUACUAAUGAACCGUGCGGCUUAACCUGACAACACCGAAGGUGUUU
rnacentral:rRNA from 1 species